UGAGGCAGGAGGAUUGCUUGAGCCCAGGAGUUUGAGGUUGCUGUGAGCUAGGCUGACACCACGGCACUCUAGCCCGGGCAACACAGUGAGACUUUGUCUCAAAAAAAAAGUAUGUACAUUAUGUUUUUAUGUUUAUUUUUAUUUAUUUAUUUAUUUUUGAGACAGAGUCUGGCUCUGUUGCCCUGGCUAGAGUGAGUGCCAUGGCGUCAGCCUAGCUCACAGCAACCUCAAACUCCUGGGCUCAAGCAAUCCUCCUGCCUCAGCCUCCCGAGUAGCUGGGACUACAGGCAUGCGCCACCAUGCCCGGC
rnacentral:SRP_RNA from 1 species